GCUUGGCUGGACAGUGAUACAAACUGAUGGUGCCCCCAGGAUCUACAAAAAGGUAACACUAUCACCUAAACAAAUUAUGAACAGUUAUGGUAAAGAGGUGCAAUCAGCAUAAGCUCUCCCCUUAAGGCAUCCUUCUUGCCAUCUGGGAGAUGUUCUUACAAGUUUUCAUACCUUUCCUGUCGUUCAGUGGUAGGCUUUUCCCCACCCCUUCCUGGAGUGCCUUAGGGAGCAAGAGCUUACAGAUGUGAACUUCAUAGCAACAAGAACAAAACACAGUAAAGAACUCAAGCUUGAGUGGACAGCAAUAAAUUAUAAAGAGCCAUCAAUUCAGUGGGUAGAUGGACUACCAGCCUCAGAAAAAUGUGAAAUGGACAGUUGGGAGUGUUCCCAUGAGUGACACACAGAAUAGUGUGUAGCAUAGCUGGUUAUAAUUACAUUCUGAUGGUUUGGAAGCUCUUAAUUGCAAAUAGAAAUGCUGCAAUUUUAUAUCUUCUUCUCUAUAUAGUUGCAUGAUGAAAUAAUGCUGGGAAGACUUUGUACAAACUGAACCAGAAUUUCAUAAGACAGGUUUGAGAAGUAAGUGCAAGGGAAAGCAAAAUAUAAAUGUAUUUCAUCUUUGUAAAAACACCCUUUUUUACUCUGAAUGUAUUUGAUAUCUUGUAAUGAUAUUAAACUUUGAAUUUAAUUUUAGAUUAAAAUUUAGUAUGCUAUGAAAUGUA